rnacentral:rRNA from 1 species
UGCCAGCCGCCGCGGUAAUACGGAGGGUGCGAGCGUUAAUCGGAAUUACUGGGCGUAAAGCGCACGUAGGCUGACUGGUCAGUUGGGGGUGAAAUCCCGGGGCUCAACCUCGGAACUGCCUUCAAUACUGCCAGUCUUGAGUCCGAGAGAGGUGAGUGGAAUUCCUAGUGUAGAGGUGAAAUUUGUAGAUAUUCGGAGGAACACCAGUGGCGAAGGCGGCUCACUGGCUCGAUACUGACGCUGAGGUGCGAAAGCGUGGGGAGCAAACAGGAUUAGAUA